CUGUUUGGUACACCCUGUAACUCAGCCAUCAGAGUUUUAUGUAGAACUUUGAAAGGCACUUACAGGAAGCAUCAGGCAG
ensembl:miRNA